UACUCCUACGGGAGGCAGCAGUGGGGAAUAUUGCGCAAUGGGCGAAAGCCUGACGCAGCAACGCCGCGUGGGUGAUGAAGGCCCUUGGGUCGUAAAGCCCUGUCAGGAGGGAAGAAUGAGCGGGUGGUUAAUACCCAUCCGCAGUGACGGUACCUCCAAAGGAAGCACCGGCUAACUCCGUGCCAGCAGCCGCGGUAAU
rnacentral:rRNA from 1 species